UUCAUUCCAAAGUGAAAAGGU
rnacentral:piRNA from 1 species